rnacentral:rRNA from 1 species
CCUACGGGUGGCAGCAGUCGAGAAUCAUUCACAAUGGGGGAAACCCUGGUGGGGCGACGCCGCGUGGGGGAAUGAAGGUCUUCGGAUUGUAAACCCCUGUCAUGUGGGAGCAAAUUAAAAAGAUAGUACCACAAGAGGAAGAGACGGCUAACUCUGUGCCAGCAGCCGCGGUAAUACAGAGGUCUCAAGCGUUGUUCGGAAUCACUGGGCGUAAAGCGUGCGUAGGCUGUUUCGUAAGUCGUGUGUGAAAGGCGCGGGCUCAACCCGCGGACGGCACAUGAUACUGCGAGACUAGAGUAAUGGAGGGGGAACCGGAAUUCUCGGUGUAGCAGUGAAAUGCGUAGAUAUCGAGAGGAACACUCGUGGCGAAGGCGGGUUCCUGGACAUUAACUGACGCUGAGGCACGAAGGCCAGGGGAGCGAAAGGGAUUAGAUACCCGGGUAGUC